GAGGAAGGUCCCCCACAUUGGAACUGAGACACGGUCCAAACUCCUACGGGAGGCAGCAGUGAGGAAUAUUGGUCAAUGGGCGAGAGCCUGAACCAGCCAAGUAGCGUGAAGGACGACUGCCCUAUGGGUUGUAAACUUCUUUUAUAGAGGAAUAAAGUGCGGUACGCGUACCGCAUUGUAUGUACUUUAUGAAUAAGCAUCGGCUAACUC
rnacentral:rRNA from 1 species